rnacentral:lncRNA from 1 species
AUGUUGAAUAGGCUUUUAUUCCUCUGGUGUCUACUACAUGCUGUAGUGUCAGAAAAAAUAGUGUGCAUUUUAUAUCAGCAUAGACAAAAGUACAGGAAAACAGAGAAGAAAAGACAUGCUGUUACAGCAUAUAAGGUAAGAAGAGAAAACUGUAUUGUAAUAGAUACUAGAAAACAAAACAGAAAAAUACAUUACCUUCUGAGGACUCAUGUCAGAGAAGUCCAAGUUAAAGCUCAGCAUCUGAAGGGAGAAUCUGAUGGCACCAAAUCAAGUAGAGGACCUGAUCCAGAGAUUAAGUUAUAUAAAGCACUAAAAGAUCACUUUCUCCCCAAAUUAACUGAUCUUACAUGUUAUUUUCUGGACUUCAAACCUUUAGCAGAUACUCUGAAGGAAGCUGAUAAUAUUGUUUUAAAGGCUAAGAAAGAGCAAAGUGAUUUUUCAUCACACAGGGACACUCCACUGUUAAAUACAGAGUUUAGGAGCUUUGUAGCAGUACUGACAGCUACACUAGAAUCAGUAUUACCUAAAGUACUUUGCACAGCUUCAGUGAAAAUUAGUCAGAGACAACUACUGUUAGAUAAUUUCCAUGUGUUAUUGAUCAUGAGACAUUCAGACCUAAUAAUGUUAAAGUUUGGUAUACUAUUUCCAUUGAAGAAGGAAAUGGCUUGUGGUCAUCUUAAAUGGAAAUUCAGCAAGGAAAUAUUAAUGGAAGAUGUCAGAAAUGAAUGGACUGAAGUUGUACUCUUCUUAGAACCUUCUCAGCUUUCUAGACAGACAUGGAAUAGUUAUUCACUGUUAGCAUUAUUCGGGAAACAGUGUGUACGAAAUGUGAGGAUGAAUAAACCAAAAUCAUGUUUAAAUGCAAACGAGUUGAUUUAUAAAACAAUGUUAUCUUUGAAGGAAAUCCUAUUAGUGAGUCAGACUGCUUCAAACCCAUUGCAUCUGAGAACAUUUCAGCUGCUAAAAUUAAUUAUUUCAGUUCACAAGCUUUGUGAAUAUGAUGUUCAGGUCAAAGUGAGAUCAGGCUACAAAUUCAUUUUAAGGUGGUCAAAUGCCACAGAAAGUACGGGGUAG